GGUUAAGCGACUAAGCGUACACGGUGGAUGCCCUGGCAGUCAGAGGCGAUGAAGGACGUGCUAAUCUGCGAAAAGCGUCGGUAAGGUGAUAUGAACCGUUAUARCCGGCGAUGUCCGAAUGGGGAAACCCAGUGUGAUUCGUCACACUAUCGUUAACUGAAUACAUAGGUUAACGAGGCGAACCGGGGGAACUGAAACAUCUAAGUACCCCGAGGAAAAGAAAUCAACCGAGAUUCCCCCAGUAGCGGCGAGCGAACGGGGAGCAGCCCAGAGUCUGAAUCAGCUUGUGUGUUAGUGGAACGGUCUGGAAAGUCCGACGGUACAGGGUGAUAGUCCCGUACACCAAAAUGCACAGGNUGUGAACUCGAAGAGUAGGGCGGGACACGUGGUAUCCUGUCUGAAUAUGGGGGGACCAUCCUCCAAGGCUAAAUACUCCUGACUGACCGAUAGUGAACCAGUACCGUGAGGGAAAGGCGAAAAGAACCCCGGCGAGGGGAGUGAAAAAGAACCUGAAACCGUGUACGUACAAGCAGUGGGAGCACCUUCGGGUGUGACUGCGUACCUUUUGUAUAAUGGGUCAGCGACUUAUAUUCUGUAGCAAGGUUAACCGUAUAGGGGAGCCGCAGGGAAACCGAGUCUUAACUGGGCGUUAAGUUGCAGGGUAUAGACCCGAAACCCGGUGAUCUAGCCAUGGGCAGGUUGAAGGUUGGGUAACACUAACUGGAGGACCGAACCGACUAAUGUUGAAAAAUUAGCGGAUGACUUGUGGCUGGGGGUGAAAGGCCAAUCAAACCGGGAGAUAGCUGGUUCUCCCCGAAAGCUAUUUAGGUAGCGCCUCGUGAACUCAUCUUCGGGGGUAGAGCACUGUUUCGGCUAGGGGGUCAUCCCGACUUACCAACCCGAUGCAAACUACGAAUACCGAAGAAUGUUAUCACGGGAGACACACGGCGGGUGCUAACGUCCGUCGUGAAGAGGGAAACAACCCAGACCGCCAGCUAAGGUCCCAAAGUCAUGGUUAAGUGGGAAACGAUGUGGGAAGGCACAGACAGCCAGGAUGUUGGCUUAGAAGCAGCCAUCAUUUAAAGAAAGCGUAAUAGCUCACUGGUCGAGUCGGCCUGCGCGGAAGAUGUAACGGGGCUAAACCAUGCACCGAAGCUGCGGCAGCGACACUAUGUGUUGUUGGGUAGGGGAGCGUUCUGUAAGCCUGCGAAGGUGUGCUGUGAGGCAUGCUGGAGGUAUCAGAAGUGCGAAUGCUGACAUAAGUAACGAUAAAGCGGGUGAAAAGCCCGCUCGCCGGAAGACCAAGGGUUCCUGUCCAACGUUAAUCGGGGCAGGGUGAGUCGACCCCUAAGGCGAGGCCGAAAGGCGUAGUCGAUGGGAAACAGGUUAAUAUUCCUGUACUUGGUGUUACUGCGAAGGGGGGACGGAGAAGGCUAUGUUAGCCGGGCGACGGUUGUCCCGGUUUAAGCAUGUAGGCUGAUUGUCCAGGCAAAUCCGGAUAAUCAAGGCUGAGGUGUGAUGACGAGGCACUACGGUGCUGAAGUAACAAAUGCCCUGCUUCCAGGAAAAGCCUCUAAGCAUCAGGUAACAUCAAAUCGUACCCCAAACCGACACAGGUGGUCAGGUAGAGAAUACCAAGGCGCUUGAGAGAACUCGGGUGAAGGAACUAGGCAAAAUGGUGCCGUAACUUCGGGAGAAGGCACGCUGGUGUGUAGGUGAAGUCCCUGCGGAUGGAGCUGAGACCAGUCGAAGAUACCAGCUGGCUGCAACUGUUUAUUAAAAACACAGCACUGUGCAAACACGAAAGUGGACGUAUACGGUGUGACGCCUGCCCGGUGCCGGAAGGUUAAUUGAUGGGGUUAUCCGUAAGGAGAAGCUCUUGAUCGAAGCCCCGGUAAACGGCGGCCGUAACUAUAACGGUCCUAAGGUAGCGAAAUUCCUUGUCGGGUAAGUUCCGACCUGCACGAAUGGCGUAAUGAUGGCCAGGCUGUCUCCACCCGAGACUCAGUGAAAUUGAACUCGCUGUGAAGAUGCAGUGUACCCGCGGCAAGACGGAAAGACCCCGUGAACCUUUACUAUAGCUUGACACUGAACAUUGAGCCUUGAUGUGUAGGAUAGGUGGGAGGCUUUGAAGCGUGGACGCCAGUCUGCGUGGAGCCAACCUUGAAAUACCACCCUUUAAUGUUUGAUGUUCUAACGUUGGCCCCUGACCGGGGUUGCGGACAGUGUCUGGUGGGUAGUUUGACUGGGGCGGUCUCCUCCCAAAGCGUAACGGAGGAGCACGAAGGUUAGCUAAUCCUGGUCGGACAUCAGGAGGUUAGUGCAAUGGCAUAAGCUAGCUUGACUGCGAGCGUGACGGCGCGAGCAGGUGCGAAAGCAGGUCAUAGUGAUCCGGUGGUUCUGAAUGGAAGGGCCAUCGCUCAACGGAUAAAAGGUACUCCGGGGAUAACAGGCUGAUACCGCCCAAGAGUUCAUAUCGACGGCGGUGUUUGGCACCUCGAUGUCGGCUCAUCACAUCCUGGGGCUGAAGUAGGUCCCAAGGGUAUGGCUGUUCGCCAUUUAAAGUGGUACGCGAGCUGGGUUUAGAACGUCGUGAGACAGUUCGGUCCCUAUCUGCCGUGGGCGCUGGAGAAUUGAGGGGGGCUGCUCCUAGUACGAGAGGACCGGAGUGGACGCAUCACUGGUGUUCGGGUUGUCAUGCCAAUGGCACUGCCCGGUAGCUAAAUGCGGAAGAGAUAAGUGCUGAAAGCAUCUAAGCACGAAACUUGCCCCGAGAUGAGUUCUCCCUGAGACUAUAAGUCUCCUG
rnacentral:rRNA from 1 species